UGCUGGUGUUUUACUCAAGCGUGACCCACCUCUUCCCAUUCCGAACAGAGCCGUGAAAGCGCUUGAGCCCGAUGAUACUAGUUGGUUCGCCGACCGGGAAAGUAGGGUACGCCAGCAU
rnacentral:rRNA from 2 species